UUGACCUCGGAUCAGGCAGGAUACCCUAACUUAA
rnacentral:rRNA from 1 species